rnacentral:lncRNA from 1 species
UUAUAGUAUUAGAAUGGCACCCAAUACAUAGUUUGGAAUUUUUUAAAAUGUCAGCUAUUAUGAUGAUAACAAUGGUGGCUUACAAGACCUUUGACCAUCUGGCUUCCCUCUCCAAGCAUGCCAAAUUAAUCACACUUCUUAAACACAUCUCUUGACCGGGGUGUUCUCACCAUGCCCUUUCUACAAACAAAAAGUCCUACAAGAGUUGGAGCCAUCCUCUCCUCAUCUUCUACUUUCUGCCUUCUUCUGGGACACGCUAUUGAUCACGAAGUAUCUUAUCCUUGAAAAAUCUCCUCUCUUCAACUCGAGUACUACUGCAGAAAGCAGCAACUUGGCGGCCUUUUAUGGAUGGGUGUUACUGAAUAAAGAAUGAAGAUGUGGAGACCUGGAGACAGGUGGCACCUCGUGCUUCCUCCGAAGGGAGAGCCCAUUUCCUAACAGCUGGAUCAAAGGCAUGAAAUGAACAUGGAGUCCCUGAAGAUGAAGAGAAGGCAUGGCUUCCAGGGAGAAAUUGUACAUUACAGGAAUGCAGAUGUGAUUCCUAUGGAUGAGGGUAACCUAGAGGCUAGAAGAACAAUAGGACAGAAGAAGCCUGGGUCCCUGAACAA